rnacentral:sRNA from 1 species
CAGCAUCAAUACUCACUAUCCCAUGAAGUUUUUCAAUUCUCAAGUCCUUAAGAGAUGGCAAAAGUCCAAGGGGAGGUAAACGUUCGCAGUAUUCACAGUCCUUCAACACUAAGGACACCAGAUUUGGUAUGCUUCUGAUGCAUGAGAGGGAUCCUCAAUAUUUUGCAGCCCACUAAUGGAUAAACUUCCGUGAAGAUUGAUUUGUCCCAAUUGUUGAAUACUGAGUUCCUUAUGUAUGUCAACACAAAACGAAUUCAUCAAUACUUGGAGAUUCUUCAGCUCUCCCAAAAUAUGCACAUUUUUCACUUCAGUAUUUAAUAGUUCUAGGAAACACAAUUUGUCGAGUUGAAGAAAACAUGAAGGAAGCUCCUUUAAUCUUUCACAACGGUUUAGCUUCAGUGUUUGCAACUUGUAGAGUAAACCUAUAGAGUCGGGUAGUUCUUCUAUUGCAGUAUUAGAGAGAUCUAAUGAACGAAGAUGCUUA